AGUCGAGCGCGAAAGUGACUUCGGUCGCGAGUAGAGCGGCGAACGGGUGAGUAACACGUGGAUAACCUGCCUGGAAGUGGGGAACAACUCAGGGAAACUUGAGCUAAUACCGCAUACGUUGGCCUCGCGAGAGCGGAGUCAACAAAGGUGGCCUCUUCUUGAAAGCUAUCGCUUCCAGAGGGAUCCGCGUCUGAUUAGCUAGUUGGUGAGGUAAUGGCUCACCAAGGCGACGAUCAGUAGCCGGCCUGAGAGGGUGAUCGGCCACACUGGAACUGAGACACGGUCCAGACUCCUACGGGAGGCAGCAGUGGGGAAUAUUGGACAAUGGGCGCAAGCCUGAUCCAGCAACGCCGCGUGGAGGAUGAAGGCCUUCGGGUUGUAAACUCCUGUCAGGUGGGACGAAAAGACUUCGGUCAAUAUCCGGAGUCCGUGACGGUACCACCGGAGGAAGCCCCGGCUAACUCCGUGCCAGCAGCCGCGGUAAUACGGAGGGGGCAAGCGUUAUUCGGAAUUAUUGGGCGUAAAGGGCGCGUAGGCGGCAUGAUAAGUCAGUGGUGAAAUCCCUCGGCUCAACCGAGGAACUGCCUCUGAAACUGUCUUGCUUGAGGCCGGGAGAGGGUAGUGGAAUUCCCAGUGUAGCGGUGAAAUGCGUAGAUAUUGGGAGGAACACCGGUGGCGAAGGCGGCUACCUGGACCGGUUCUGACGCUGAGGCGCGAAAGUGUGGGGAGCAAACAGGAUUAGAUACCCUGGUAGUCCACACUGUAAACGAUGAGCACUCGGUGCCGCGGGUGUCGACCCCUGCGGUGCCUUAGGAAACCCGUUAAGUGCUCCGCCUGGGGAGUACGGUCGCAAGGCUGAAACUCAAAGGAAUUGACGGGGGCCCGCACAAGCGGUGGAGCAUGUGGUUUAAUUCGAUGCAACGCGCA
rnacentral:rRNA from 1 species